UAAAAAGUAUAAAAUUCAGGUAGUAUUGGGUGGCUUAAAACUUAAAAAAUUUGGCGGUGUUUUAAUCUUAUUAGAGGAACCUGUUUUAUAAUCGACAAUACCCGACAAAUCUUACUUGGGUUAGUUGCUUGUAUAUCGUUGUGAUAAUAAUAUUUUAUAACCAUUAUUAGGAGUAAUUUUAUUUUUGAUAUCAGAUCAAGGUUCAGUUUAUACUUAAGUAAAAAAUAGGUUACAAUAUAGAAAUAUAUUACGAAGUUUAUGCUUUAAACAUAAAUAAAGGUGGAUUUAAAAGUAUUUUUAUAUUAAUGUGUUAAUUUGAAUUAGCUCUAAAAUAUGU
rnacentral:rRNA from 1 species